AGACAGGUGAGGCAAUGACAGGUAAGGCGAAGACAGAUGAGGCGAAGACAGGUGAGGCAAAGACAGGCGAGGCUAAGACAGGUGAGGCGAAGACAGGUGAGGCAAAGACAGGUGAGGCGAAGACAGGUGAGGCAAAGACAGGUGAGGCGAAGACAGGUGAGGCAAUGACAGGUGAGGCAAUGACAGGUAAGGCGAAGACAGGUGAGGCGAAGACAGGUGAGGCGAAGACAGGUGAGGCGAAGACAGGUGAGGCAAUGACAGGUAAGGCGAAGACAGGUGAGGCGAAGACAGGUGAGGCGAAGACAGGUGAGGCGAAGACAGGUGAGGCGAAGACAGGUGAGGCAAAGACAGGUGAGGCGAAGACAGGUGAGGCGAAGACAGGUGAGGCAAAGACAGGUGAGGCGAAGACAGGUGAGGCAAAGACAGGUGAGGCAAAGACAGGUGAGGCAAAGACAGGUGAGGCGAAGACAGGUGAGGCAAAGACAGGUGAGGCGAAGACAGGUGAGGCAAAGACAGGUGAGGCAAAGACAGGUGAGGCGAAGACAGGUGAGGCAAAGACAGGUGAGGCAAAGACAGGUGAGGCAAAGACAGGUGAGGCGAAGACAGGUGAGGCGAAGACAGGUGAGGCAAAGACAGGUGAGGCGAAGACAGGUGAGGCGAAGACAGGUGAGGCGAAGACAGGUGAGGCGAAGACAGGUGAGGCGAAGACAGGUGAGGCGAAGACAGGU